GACAGAUUGCAGAUCGUUCGGAAUACGACGACAGCGAGACAGUCCGUAAGCGGCGACUGCGGCAUAUUUGCCAUUAAGUACGUUGAAUUUUUAAGUAUAGGACAUAAGGUUGAUGGAAUCAACCAGUCGUGGAUACAGAACUGGAG